rnacentral:rRNA from 1 species
GAUGAACGCUAGCUACAGGCUUAACACAUGCAAGUCGAGGGCCAGCACAGUGAACAAAAACACGGUUGGCGACCGGCGCACGGGUGCGUAACACGUAUCCAACCUGCCCGUUACUCGGGGAUAGCCUUCUGAAAGGAAGAUUAAUACCCGAUGGCAUUCAUUGGCGGCAUCGCUUAUGAAUUAAAUAUUUAUGGUUAACGGUUGGGGAUGCGUACGGUAAGCUGGUUGGCGGGGUAACGGCCCACCAAGGCUACGAUCGUUAGGGGUUCUUGGAGGAAGGUCCCCCACACUGGAACUGAGACACGGUCCAGACUCCUACGGGAGGCAGCAGUGAGGAAUAUUGGUCAAUGGUCGAGAGACUGAACCAGCCAAGUAGCGUGAAGGAUGACUGCCCUAUGGGUUGUAAUCUUCUUUUGUUUGGGAAUAAAGUCAGGUACGUGUACCUGGUUGUAUGUACCAUUCGAAUAAGCAUCGGCUAAUUCCGUGCCAGCCGCCGCAGUAAUAC